AACGUAGGUGGCGAGCGUUAUCCGGAUUUACUGGGCGUAAAGGGUGUGCAGGCUGCCCCUCAAGUGGUGUAUGAAAGGGCUCGGCUCAACCGGGCUAGGUUAUGCCAGACUGAGGGGCUUGAGAGCGAGAGCGGGACGUGGAAUUCCGGGUGUAGUGGUGAAAUGCGUAGAGAUCCGGAGGAACCCCAGAGGCGAAGGCGGCGUCCUGGCUCGCAUCUGACGCUCAGACACGACAGCAUGGGGAGCGAACGGG
rnacentral:rRNA from 1 species